rnacentral:rRNA from 1 species
UACGGAGGGUGCAAGCGUUAUCCGGAUUCACUGGGUUAAAGGGUGCGUAGGUGGGUCUGUAAGUCCGUGGUGAAAUCUCCGAGCUUAACUUGGAAACUGCCAUGGAUACUAUAGAUCUUGAAUACUGUGGAGGUUAGCGGAAUAUGUCAUGUAGCGGUGAAAUGCUUAGAUAUGACAUAGAACACCAAUUGCGAAGGCAGCUGGCUACACAAAUAUUGACACUGAUGCACGAAAGCGUGGGGAUCAAACAGG